GCGUCUCUUGCAGUAGUUCUGAGAUUCAGCUGUGUGCUUGGAAUUCAGCUACUGCAGCUGGCUUGUCCCUACAUGUAGGGUGAAAAGAACCACGUGUCUGGUUCUUCUCCUGCCAGUACAUAGCCUCUCCACCACAAAGACCCCUGCAGUGCCUCCACGUGGCCACACACGGAAACUGGGUACUUUAUUGAUCCAGGCCAAACUGCGGGGGAUCUCGGAGCAACAGUGGGCCCCAGAGACGAAGUGCAAUACCCCACAAUAUGUGGACAUUUCUUGGCACUCGUCAACCACUGUCCCAGCUAUGGGAAGUCCAGCGGACGACCCGGACAUGUUGUAGGGAGUUUGCCUCUCCGUUGGUAGCAGAGCUGGAGGAGGUGUCCAUGGAGACGGAAGUCUGGGACUCUUAGCUGAGACCUCUGCCCCCGAGAAGCGCUUCCUGAAUGGAGUCAAAGACGACGAUUUUCAAGUCCAUCCUCCAGAGGUCAUCUGGGAGCAUGGUCGGUUGGGCUGCUCUGCUGAUUGCCUGCACCUGUUUCUCAUCAGGUCAAGACUACUAGGAGUUGGCUGCCAGCACUUCAAUGCCAGAAUAUUAAUCUUAAGUGGUACUUGUGGCCCUCUUGACUUCUUGCAUUGUUUUCCCUGGUUUC